UGGUAUGUAGAUUGUAAUGGUAGAUUACCUUCAGUCCUUUUGGUACGAUGUCCAUCUGUCUGCAUUUGGAAAGGAAGAUGUCUGUCUGUAUCUGUACGAGUUUUUUCAUGAAGGGGAGAUGUUUAACUCCACAAAACCUAACCCUGUUAAUUGAAAAGCUUCGUGGGGGACAAAAAACUUAAUUUUCGGACUGGAGAAUGAAACCCUUCCCCACACUUUUUGUGUGUCUAAACUAACUUGACAGUGUUUGUCUCAAGGUCACAGGUCUAAAGAUAUUCUGUUAACUGCCUGAUCGCCUGCUUACUGAACAGUGCAGUUGCACAGACUAUAUGCCACCGUGGGCUCUGAGGUUAGGAUUUUCAAAGGAGUUGAGGGGAGCUUGAUGCUCAGCUCUCAUUGGAUUUAAUAGGAUUUGGGCACCUCAUUCCCUUACUUUCCUUUGAAAAUUCCAGCCUGGAUUUAAUCCCUUGAUUUUUUCAUCCAUCCUACUGACUGCUCCCUCUGUUUGCCCCAGCUCAGCAGUAUAAAUGCAAAUUGAUCUGAGGUUCCCUUCUACAGACGGGUGUUCCAUUGGGAAAAACUUUGAUCAUAGAAAGGCUGCAUAGUUUUUAAAGCUUUAUGACAAGAGCAAAAUGGCUGGAAGGAGCAUAUAUAUUGUACUUUAUUGAAGAGGCCCAAUUUAAGCAUACUUUUUCUCUGAAGAGGUCUUACCUGCUGCUGUCAGUAACACCCUAGUUCCACAAGUCCAAAAAGAGGUUUUUCUGCAUGGUCAGUCCAUGCAAUUCACAAUACUUUGUAUAGUCAGUUUAAUUGUUCCCUUCUGUAUAGUUAGAUCCCAUUUUAGGGUGGAUCUUCACACCAUAACAAGGGAAAGACCUGUUAAAGGAACAGAAAAAUGUGAUUUGAAAAUCCCCCAAAACUUGACCUGGAUUUAGACUCCGAUGUAACAUAUGAAACGACUUCUGCCUCUUUUUUUAAAAUUAUCUUUAAGUGAAUGGUCACUUUAAACAGUCUGGGGCUGCACCCAGCUGAUUUGCCUCAUUUAAUCUGAGAUGGCAUUUGUUCCCUUGUGUUAGCUGCAUGAGAGUUAAAAUCAUCUUUUCUGAACCGAAGCUGACUUAGUUGCCUGGACUUGGUACUUUAACAUGUCUUCCUUGUCACUGCUUGUCACAGGGGUCAGCCCACCUGUAGUUCAGAGGGAUUAGGACCCAGGUUUGUAAACCAGCUCUGAGAUUUACCCACAAGGAGAAGAAAUGAAGCAGUCGUAUUUCAGUAAGGAAGGGAUGGUCUUGAGCUUAAGACACAGGGGUGGGGAUCAGGAGCUGCAGCUUUUUUUCCUGGAUCUCACAGAUUUCUCCACUUAACCCCUCUGCAGUAAAACUGGCUUCAUAAGCGCAGGCCAGGUAUACUUUAGUCUGAUUGCUGCAUGUAAGGCACUUUGGGAUUCUCUGAGGGAAGGUCUUAUGGGGUGCAAAACGCCACCAUUGGAGAAAAUAUAAUUUUUAAACCACUGAUGUGUUACAGGAAAUAUCAAAGGAAGACAAAACAGGUGGUGCUGAGAGUAAAAAGGUCGGGGGUGGGGGGGGGGGGGAGAGAAAUGGGGAUUUCUGAUGGGGCUAAACAAGCUUUAACCCCUUCCAGAUGCUGAUGUGAUUUGCAACCUUUUGGGUGAAGCUAUUGUAAAAUGUGUCAUAAAAUCAUAGAAUAUCAGGGUUGGAAGGGACCUCAGGAGGUCAUCUAGUCCAACCCCCUGCUCAAAGUAGGACCAAUCCCAAAUGUCAGCUACUUUUGAGGGAUGUUUCCAGUUUUAUAACGCACACUUGCUACCCAAAUCUGCUCUUCAGGGAUGUGUUCCCUGCGGAAGUCAGCACAAACCCAAUGGUGCUGACUUCCACAUGGUGUCUCAGGGCUUUUCUAUAUAAAGACUUAGUGCGUGGCAAGCAGAGAUGUAAAUCUGCAGUUCCCCAAGUUGCUGUGUGGAUCUUGCUGCUCUGCACUAAAAGUUCUGUAGUCUGCUUUGAGCUAAUGCUAUUGGGGGAAGCGAAGGGACAAAUGGAAAAAUCUAUGGCGCAGCAGAGUUAAGGACUUUAAGUGUAUUAAGUACCAAAAGAAUCUUACCAAUGGUAUUGGUCCAUUACUAGAGGAAACGGUAGAAUUAUCAAUUCAGAAAAGGCAGAAGUGUUCAAUGUGUAUUUCGGGAAAAACCAUGAUGUAAUCAGGCAAAAGAUGAUGCUCUUUCCAUUCCAAUAGUAAUUCCAUGCUAUGUUAAUCAGCUGCUACUGAAGUUAGACGUCUUUAAAUCCGCAGGUCCACAUAACUUGCAUCUGAGGAGCUUGCUGGACCAUUAAUGUUGAGUUUCAAUAACUUAACACUGGUGAGUUCCAGAAGACUGGCAGAAAGUUUUUGUUCCAAUAUUUAAAAAAAGGUAAAUGGGAUGAACCAGGUAAUUAUAGGCCUGUCAAUCUGAUAUCACUCCUAGGCAAGAUAACGGAGUGUCUGAUCCGGGUCUCCAUUACUCAAGAAUUAAAGGAGGGUAUUGUAGUUCAUGCCAAUCAACAUGGGUUUAUAGUUUGACAGGAUCUAUUUUCUAAUUUGAUAUCAUCUUUUGAUUAGAUGAAUUUGGUAGAGAACGGUAACGGUGUUGAUCUGAUAUAUUUAGACUUCUCUUGGUACCUCAUGGCAUUUUGAUUCUAAAAACAAUGAGACUGAUACAAAACGAACAUUGCACACAUUAAAUAGAUUAAAAACUGGCCAACCGAUAGGUCUCAGAAUGUAACUGUAAAUGGGGAAUCGUCAUCGAGUGGGUGUGUUUCUGGCAUUGGAUAUAAAGGAUUCCUAUACUGUGAUAUCGAAGUUGUACGGUAGGUCAGAUCCAGGGAUCUUAUUACAGAUCUAAGGAAGCUUUACUUCCUAAUGAGCUGUGGCCGUGCUUUGUGUUGUGACCUGCAGGACUGGUUGCAGGAUAUGGACAAAAGAACUUUCCCUACCUUUGAAUAAUCUUGGUUUUGUCCCUAGGCUAUGGUGGCACGACAUAUAAUGAUCUCCUUGCAGGUAAUGUACAGAGCUUCAUGGAGCUAUUCCUCCUGUGGAUGGAGGGACUUGAAAAUAGUCGCCAGUGAGACCUGUUUUGGAGCCUUCUGCUUACGAAUAGGGAUGAUAUCCUUGGAGAAAGAAGAGAGCUAAUUAAAUCUUCCGGUGAGAGUUGAGCAGGGAUGAUGGGCAUAGCAGUUAAAGUCUCUUAAAUCAAUUUAACCAGCUCAAAUCAACACACGGUAACACCAAGACAAGGCGGUUUAUAGUUUUCACCUGAUAUAGGAAGUUCCAUUCAAGGGCUUGUCUGCAUGGGGAAAUUGACCAGCAUAGUUUUAUAGUAGAAGCCAGCUUAACCUAUGCUAGUCAAUUUCCCCGUGCAGACAAGCCCAACCACUAGGCCACCCCACUGUCUUUACCUGGCCUGUUAACUCCUGGAGCUGCAGCUUUUGCUUUUUGCCCUGUUAGGAUCAUGCCUUCAUUUUCACAUCCCAGAUAUUUCCCUCCCCAUGGAGGUGUUGCUCAGUGAGUGGGGCAGCAAGUGGCAAAGGCUUUCAAAGGUUACCCAUCAGCUGUGAGGGCCUUUCUGUUAACGCUCAGGGCCAAGAACUAAACCUACAGCCAAGUGCAACAAUCCCACUUUAAAAGAGUUUCUUGUACAAGGUGCAGCUGAGACCCUGUGGCCUGCAGCCGCCUGCUGGCAUCAUCUUAACACAGCUGGACCCGGCUUGGCCCUUCAUCUCCUCUGUAGAACAGCUGCUGCCCCAGUGUGUCCUCUCGGCCACGUGUGCGGUGACUUCGGUUACCAGCUGGAGCAUGCUGGCCUUUGGUAAUCUGCUCUAGUGUCUGGUCAUGGAGAGGAUGCAGGAGUCACUAGGUGUGGGGGAAGGGUGACACACAGUUGUCCCUGGCUAGUGGCUCCUGUCAAACUUCAGACAUUGGCUCAGACUAGCCUCACCUUCCCCUGCUGUGGACACGUGAGACGGGUUCACUUCACCCUGGCCUCCCACUUGCCUGCUUACAGGGCGAAUCCUUCUGUCUGGACAAGGGGUGGAGCUGGGGCACCUUGUUUGUCCUAUUGAUCCCACACUUCCUUCUUAGCCACUCCAUCCUUCUGGGAAUGGGGAUUAUCAGGGGACCCUUUCAUGUACCCCAAUGCAGAGACCGGCAACCAUAUGUCUGAUGGUGGUGCUGCCCAUCCCUCUCCUGAGCAAACAGCUGCUCUCUGAUUCUCUGCUGUGUCUGGCUGCUUGUCCAUCUGUCAGUCCAUCCUGACCAACUCCAAAGUGGCUUAGGGUCUUCAGGACACUUGCAGAUGCCUUUCUCUUCCCUCCCCCAUGCCCUGUUUUCACCGUUGCCAGCAUUAAUAUCUAUGCACAGGGUCUUUCGUUCCCAAAAGCUGUGCAAUCUACAUGCAAGGGGAACCGCUCCACCUCUCAUGGUAACACAGCCACCUCUGAGUGGAUCGUGGCAGCUGCUAUAAAGCUUGUCAUUUUGCCCUUUCCUCCUCCCCUUACUUUACAUUUUCUGACUUUCCUUGUUGAUUUAUAUUUUCAAAGGCACCUGAGGGAUGUGAAUGCUGUAGGCUUUGGAAACCCAGCCUUGAUCUGUAUCAUUUCCAUCUAGAAAUCCCUGGGCAGGGGUGGUCUCAACCCUUUCCCCCUCCCUUUUAUUUUUUAAUCUGGUAAAAGAUCCUGGGUUUAACUGCGGAGGCCAAGGAAGGUUGGCCCAGGAGUUUAGGGUACUAGCUUGAGACUUGGGAGACAUGGGUUCCAACAAGUUGCUUAAUUUCUCUCUGCCUCAAUUCCUCAUCUGUACAAUGGGGAUACUAGCAGCAUCCUACCUUGCAGGGCUGUUAUGACGAUAAAUACAUUACAGUCCUCAGGGACUACACUGAAGGGGCUCUAUAAGUACCUCAGAUAGGUACCCAACUCCUUGACUUACAUAGGUUCCCCACCAGCUGUCGGGUUGUGGUAAGGCUGCUGGGCCGGCACGUGGGAGGCCAGCUUUCUAUUCCUGGCUUUACUAGGUGACCGUGUACAUAUCACUUCCCUUCACUGUGUCUCUGUUUUCCCGCCCAGGCUCUGUCUGGUCUAUAAGGCUCUUCUGGGCAGGGGCCGUCUCUCAUUGGUUCUAUGUACGGCACCUGGCACAAUGAGGCCAUGAUCUUGGUAGGGGUCUCUAACUCAAACCCACCCGCAGGCAGCUGGUGCAGCCGCUAGGGGAUUCAGCUUGUAUUUUUAAAUGUGUAUUUAAUAUGAACUGUUUGUGUCACCAUGGGUGGUUAUAGCACUUUACAGAGCGCUAAGGAUUUUACAAUCUGGAUUAAAAAAAAAAAUGGAGCCAGGUCAUGAGGAGUCUGGUUUUAAUGGAUUCACCCUCAGAAGACUCUAAAUCCUCUUCCAAACCCCUGUUCCUUAGCCCUUGUCUAGGCCAACUUGCACUGAUUUAAAUAAACUGGGUGUGACUCCCUAGAUGGACACUCUUAUUUCAGUCUGAGUGGCUUAGUUUCCAUUAACCUGCUCCUAAUGGCGCUAAGCCUGGUUUGAACUGAAUUAAGUGUGUCCACACAGCCCUUUGCAUCAGUUUAACUAAACCAGUUUUACAUCACACUUUUAUUUAAAGCUUCUAAAUGUGGCUAGUCCCUUACAGACACUGACAUCAAGCACAAGGUUCUCUGACGUUCCAAAGCUGCACAGAAUGCUGUUUGCUUUAAUGGAGCAGCUGGCUGACUAUUUCCAAUCUGGCCUUGUUUACAAGACGGGAGCGUUCUGCUACAGAACUGAAGGGGCAGUGCAGCAUUGGGCCGGGGCUCCCAAGAACCAAACUGGGGCUGAGACAGAGCCGCAUGGGGCUCACUCUGGAUUGUGCGAUGUAUGCUUGUGGCCCUGCAGCGGGUGCAGCUGGGACCCACUGUUCAGCAUGUGUUCUCUGCUUGUGCCUGGUCCACAAAGGCUGCGAGUCUGUUCCAAUCCCAGUGUAAUCCCUGAUUCCCGUACCGAGUGCCUUACCCUGCGCCAAAGUCGGGGGCUGAUGGCCCAGUCCCUUGGUGGGUCAGGACGUGAGCAUGGGUGUCAAUGUCGGAGGAAUAAAUAAUGAAGUUGCGGCACAAGGGGGCAGGUACCAGCUGUUGUAAAGUGGGAUUCCAGCAGCGUUGACCUCAGUGAUUUGCCCCAGCUGAGGAUCUAGCCCAAGGGUGGUUUUUAUGUUCGCUCUUACUUUAAAGGCCGUAUUCGGACUUCAGAGUAAAUCUGGAGUUACACCAUUGACUUAGACUUUAAGGCCGGACGGGAUCGUGCUCAUCUCGUCUGACCUCCUGCACAGUGCAGGCCGCGGAUCCUCGCUCACCCACUGGAACGAGGCCAUUCCAGCCUGGCGUCACUGUGAAUUAGCAGUGCCCCGCCAGCUCAGCGCUGGAGUGAUGCAGCUCUGCAAAGCCCGUCUCUCCUGGGCACCGGUUCUGAUCUUGCUUCUGCCGGUUCUACAACACGGAGCACCAAUGCUAAUGGAGUUACACCUGAUUGAGCCCACUCAUGAGAGCAGAAGCAGGCCCAGGGUCUCUUGUUUGUUUUGACUGAGAAUGUCGGCUAGGAGGAUGCUUGUGUUUAAACUAUAAAGGAUUUUUUGAGCUAAGAUAGGAAAGAAAUCUGUGAACGUAUUGUUACUAUUUCUGUUGCUGCAGUACCGAGGCAUCGGAGGGUUUCUCAUUUUGUGCCUUGCCUGUAAAGCUUCACCAGAUUUUUAGGACCGAAUGAUGCUCUACGGCUAACGAAAAUGGUUUUGCUUCUAACAGCAGCAGCUUGGAAGGGCAGCAGCCCAAUCGCUCCAUAACCUUCGGCUUCACCAAAUCCGCUCGGUGCUGCAACCGCGAGAUUCCCCUGCUGUUGUCUAUGUGGUGACGGAUCUGCCCUGGCUGUGUCUGAACAGAGCACUGGGGCAGAGGUGAUGGGCUCGGUCCUCAAAAGAACAUGGCGUGUUGUGAAAACGUGACCAUGCGCGUCCCGGUGGGAGCUGCUGGGCUCUGAUCAUGUGUGCAGAUCUGGUCCUUACUCUGCUGCCUAAAUGGGAGCUGAACUCUGUGGGAAAUCCGGCCCUGAGCAGUUGUCGCGGGGCUGGGAUGUGAUAGCCAGAGAGAGGGGAGAUGGGUGGGUGCAUGGUCACAACUGGCAGGAGUCCACAGGACAAUCUCACUCUGAAGAUGUGGGCCACAUGAGGAGAAAGGUGGGACCUCUGCUCCUAAAUUUCUGUGCAGCCUCUUGACUGUAUUUGGAAGUCACGGUAAUGUGCCCCUGCCCCAAGUGGCCCUGGAGACACUUUGCCUUAAGGCAGCGUUUCUUGACCUGUGGCCCAGCUGUGUGCUAAAGGCCACCAGGACGCACGGCGGGGUCCAGGUUCCUGGCCGUCUGGCAUGGCGGGGGUCCAGGACAGCCACCGCUUGCUGGCCCCACUGCCGGCAGGGGUCUAGGAUCGCCACCUGGCCCCACUGUCUGGCGGGGGUCCAGAGUUGGGGCUGCCGGCCAGCUGCCUUGCUGCCUGGCCUUGCGCAGCCAGAUCCAGGGUCAGGGCUGACUCCCGGCCCCACACAGCCCCCUGCCCAGGGCUCUGCUCUUGGCCCCACUCUGUGGAGGGGUCUCUGAGCCAGAGGUACUGCGCAUAGGGGUCUUUGGAGGGACCCACAAUGAUAAAUAGGUGGAGAACCACUGCCUUAAGGGAAGAGAAUUCAUCUCCAUUCCAGAAUGGACACAGAGCUGUCAGAGAGUGGGACUCUGGUAGCAGCCAGGGCUGGGGUGUUACGAUCUGACACUCCCCUGGCGCACCCCCAAUCUCCUGUAAUGCACCUACUGUACAGCACUGGGGGGUCAGGCCUGUAGUGCCAGGGGGCUUAGUGGGAGUUCCAUGCCAGUACGCACUGCAUGAUGAUCUGGGCCAGUAUCACCGCGGAGGUGAGGGGGAGGGGAGAGAUGUCUUCCUACCCCCAGCUGGUGAUCAGUGUGUGCAUCAAAGCAUGAGGAUUGAUGGCCCUGCUCGCUUUAUCUGAGUGGGUGUAAUUGCAGCUGUUCCUUAUUCAUGGCGGCGUUUUCAUUCCCUCUCCCAGAAUUCCCAUCCUUGGUUGCUUCUUAAAGCAGCCCCCUGACUGUGAGUUCACCAUCAGUCCUCUUGGUCAUUCCCUUCCCUUUCUGUCCUUUGUUGGGUGGCACAGCUCCUGCGGGCAAGAGGUGCAGUGGGGUGGGGGCUUCUGUCUGCUUCCAUGUGAAAUGCAUCAGAGCAGGUGUGUGUGGGCAAAGCAUAGAGACACAUGCCGUCUGCCCAGGCGGGGAAGCUGUCUGUCUUCAUUUUGCAAAUGUAAGUAACUCAACCAGGCUUUUGCCCCGGCCAAGUGGAAAAAACAACCAAGCAGGAACAAGGACAGCGAGUCCCUAGCAAACUUUGAUUUCCAAGGUUGUCUCAUCCUGGAGAAGGGUAAGUGUGUGAGUGAAAAUGGAAAUGGACAGAUCUGUCUCUCACGCUAACGGCAUAUGUAAAUGCCAGGUGUUUUAAAGGGAGGGCCAAGAUAAUAGCACUCACUGCUGCCGGAGGGGUUUCUGUCCAUCCAUCUCACAGCUCUUCACUAUGGUGUGUCAGUGUUAUCUCCAUUCUACAGAUGGGGAAACUGAGGAAUGGAGUGGGGCCGAUGUGUCCAAGUUGGUGACCAAACUGGGGCUGUAGCAUGUGGGGCUGAGUGAGCAGCGGUGCAUCACACAGCCUAGAGCCAAAGGCAUGUGUCCUGUGCCGUUUGUUUCAGCAGCAUGCACACACCGUCCUGCAAAUCCUUCUGGUGCCAGCAAACCGGACCUGCUUGGGUGAGCAGCUCAGGAGCAAUUGUGGACCUGAUCUUUGAUGUUUCCACUCUGGAAAACAUAAUCUGUGCUAAUGCACCCACCCCACCAGCUCAAGGUUUAGGGGGCUAUUGAAAGCCAGGCAGUGCCUGAGCUGUGUUAGCCCUUCAGUUUAACUGCAUUAGCUUGAGAGGUAGCAUGAUAUAACUGACUGGACCCAGGACCAACCCGGCCCUGCUGGGGCUCUAUGCCUGGCUCUCCCAUUGACCCACAGUGUGACCCUUGGCUAUGUCUUGAGGAUCAAUUAGCACCUUAUAGGAGCUGUGGGUGCUCUGCCCUUCAAGCCCUGACCGCCCCAUAGAAGUCAAUAUGAGUUUUGCUAUUGCUUUCAGUGGGCAGGAGACUGGGUCCUUAGUUUGCCUUGUGCUUUGCAAAUGUAAAGUGUGAGGUGUUGUUUCCUGGUAAGUCAUGAGUGCUCAGACCACAGGCCAGGUGCCAGUAACUGUCUGGAGGAAACAUACCCCAUGUUUGACCCAUUUCCCAGGUUGAGCAUCUUCCCUUUGCUUCCUCCAGACCUGCAGGCUCAUGCUGAGAGGAACAGAUGCUCCUAUGGUGUCCCCCAAGAUGGAAUGCUGAAGUGGGGAAACGAUGCCUUGCUUAUACUUGUAGGAAAACUCCAUGCUGGAGCCUGGUAGAAGAGAGGAAAGGAGCGAAACACCCUAAGGAAAGAUGAGAAAGCUGAGCACCAGAGGAAUGAAGCAGGAAUGGAAGACUCCCUUUGACCUGAGUGGGCUUUGGAGAAGGCCCCUUAAGCCAUUGUAUGGUUUGUGUGUCUGCCUGUUUAUCAGCCCACAGUGAAGGUCUCUCUAAACAGAAAAUCUCUUCUUUGGAAAGAUUUGAACUUGUCGCUGUUUGUUACUUAACACUGACAAGUAACCCGCCUUCCCCAUCCUCUCAGCCCAUGGCUGAGCAGCGCUGUCCUAUUUCUGUUAAGAGCUGAUCACCACUGUCCAAUUGGUUUUUUUCGCAUGUGUGGAAAAAUGCAGGGUCUUCUCCAUAACAGAACUGCAGCCUGAUUUGGGAUACGGGGCAGGAGAGGUGAAGUUCCAAUUUAAAAAAAAAAAAAAAAAAAAAUUCUAUUUCAAAAAAAUAAACUCUUAUUAAAGCCUUCAGGGGUCUAGUGUUUGGGGCCUGAUCCAAUGGCGAUGGACAUCAUAUGCAGACUCCCACUGACUUCAAUGGAUCAGUCUCCUGAGGAUGCUCUCCCUGCUUCAGCCUAGCGCUGAAUAGCUCAAGGGGAAGAGUUCCCUGGUGUUGCCUUGUGCCGUCAGUUUAGCUAUGAAAAAAAUGGACAGCCUGAUCAAUCACAUUAUGAUCCUUCUACAGCUUGAGCAGGACUGGCUGGCAGCAGACCUUUGGCCCCCUCUCCUGGAGCUCAAGAAUGAGUGACCUUACCCAGGGGUACUUUCCUAAUGGCCUACCAUCAAAUUAGCCCUAUAUCAGAAAAAUGCCCAUUAAGGCUUAUAAUGAGCUGCCACUCCAUCUCUGAGGCUGGAGCUAGCCUGACACCUGCCUGGCUGCUUUAUUAUAAUGAAUUUCCUUAGCAGUGGGGUAAAAAUAUUUCUGUGGGGUCUCUUAGCAAUUUAAAUUGGCUGGGGCCUACACACCCACAAGUGAGGUCCGUUAGAUUUUAACUCUACUUCAAAGGCAAUAUAGGAGCUUGGGUGGCUGGAAAUACUGAACGACAGGAAAGAAACGCAGUUCUCAAGAAACCAGCAGCAGGAUUAAAGAUGAGAUGCCUGUGAAAUGCAGGGAGAAAGGUAGCACUCAGCUCUGCCUUGCCUAGGAUCUGAAGAUGGUCACCUGCUAAACUGGGGGGUGUGGGAAGAGGCAUUUAUUUUUCCAGGGGAAAAUCAAAAUCACAACCUUAAAAACCUGCACUUUGCAUUCGAAAGGGGCACCCGCGAAGUCAUUUACAGAAUUGCCGCAUUCCUUAAUGACUCUCAUCAAGGCCUGAUCCAAACCUCAUUCCUGGGAGCCUUUGCAGGGGCUUUUGGGUCAGGAACAUCACUAAGUAAAUAAAGCCCCAGUGGGGCGGUGAGUCACCAUUGGCCUGCCCCUGGCACAGUCACUGACACUGGCUCAAUGUAUGUACCCAAUGCCAGCAGAUCAGACUGGGGCUUGGUGUUUUUGCACUCUGGGCUGUACCAGUGUUUGGUGAAUCAGGCCCCCUCUGCGCUCCAUCAUUUGGUCAGCAGGCUCUACCAUGCCAUGAACUACGUCUAAUGGCAGUGGGCGUUUGGCUCAUUUUCACCCACUGCUGGGUAAACUCCUGGCUCCACUGAAGGCAAUGGAAAUUUUACUUCUAGGGGGGCCAGGAUUUCACCCCUUAUGUUUAACUCCAAUGCUGUUUUUCUGUCUUUUAGCUUCUUCUUUCCCUUUCCUGGAAGAGUCCUAUAAAUAAAAGUCACAGGGUAAGAGAGACGGAUGCAAACAGACAAAAGAACAGGGUUUUUUGUUAAAAACUUUCCACUGAAACAUGCUC